CUAGUAAUCGCGGAUCAGAAUGCCGCGGUGAAUGCGUUCCCGGGUCUUGUACACACCGCCCGUCACACCAUGGAAGUUGGGGGUGCCCAAAGCCGGCAGGGAAAUAUGCUGUCUAAGGCAAAACCAAUGACUGGGGUGAAGUCGUAACAAGGUAAC
rnacentral:rRNA from 1 species